GAUGAACGCUGGCGGCGUGCCUAAUACAUGCAAGUCGAGCGAACAGACGAGGAGCUUGCUCCUCUGACGUUAGCGGCGGACGGGUGAGUAACACGUGGAUAACCUACCUAUAAGACUGGGAUAACUUCGGGAAACCGGAGCUAAUACCGGAUAACAUGUUGAACCGCGUGGUUCAACAGUGAAAGACGGUCUUGCUGUCGCUUAUAGAUGGAUCCGCGCCGCAUUAGCUAGUUGGUAAGGUAACGGCUUACCAAGGCAACGAUGCGUAGCCGACCUGAGAGGGUGAUCGGCCACACUGGAACUGAGACACGGUCCAGACUCCUACGGGAGGCAGCAGUAGGGAAUCUUCCGCAAUGGGCGAAAGCCUGACGGAGCAACGCCGCGUGAGUGAAGAAGGUCUUCGGAUCGUAAAACUCUGUUAUUAGGGAAGAACAAAUGUGUAAGUAACUAUGCACGUCUUGACGGUACCUAAUCAGAAAGCCACGGCUAACUACGUG
rnacentral:rRNA from 1 species